rnacentral:rRNA from 1 species
UACGUAGGGGGCUAGCGUUGUCCGGAUUUAUUGGGCGUAAAGGGCGCGUAGGCGGCCUGCUAAGUCAUACGUGAAAUCCCUCGGCUCAACCGGGGAACUGCGUGUGAUACUGGCGGGCUUGAAUUCGGGAGAGGGAUGCGGAAUUCCAGGUGUAGCGGUGAAAUGCGUAGAUAUCUGGAGGAACACCGGUGGCGAAGGCGGCAUCCUGGACCGAGAUUGACGCUGAUGCGCGAAAGCCAGGGGAGCAAA